GUAUUCUUUUAAAAAACAAAUAGAGGAAAGUGACCAAAUAUGGGAUAGUAUCCCUAAUAUGGAAUACCCCUAUUUCUCCCAAAUGCAAACUCACAUACGCAAUAAACAAUGAUUUUCUGUCUCCUUUUACUCCCGUUUACGCGUACAAGUUGUAGCAUGUCAGUUGAGCAAGUACUUUCGUCAUUGUGACAGUUUUUUGUUUUGUCGCUACCGCAUAACUUUCUAAGGUAUGUUAAAAAUACGUAUUUUUCGUAAAGCAAGUGCACAGAGUAUUGAUUUUAUAGCUUUUAGAGACCGUUUAGACGUUCUUUUGUAUGUUUUAGCGGUAUUAGAUGAUAUUACUUUCUUAAAUAUAAAAAUCUGAAUGUCAGUUUGAAAUCGUUGGAAAAUCCAAAUAUGGACAGAUCACAGUAUCCAAUUAUGGACUAUUCCAUAAUUGGUUCUCUAAAGUAUCAGCUGACAUGAUGAUUUUGUUAAUUGUAUAUUUUUUAAAUGUUUUAC